CCUACGGGGGGCAGCAGUGGGGAAUAUUGGACAAUGGGGGGAACCCUGAUCCAGCCAUGCCGCGUGUGUGAAGAAGGCCCUCGGGUUGUAAAGCACUUUCAGUGAGGAAGAACGCCUGGUGGUUAAUACCCAUCAGGAAAGACAUCACUCACAGAAGAAGCACCGGCUAACUCCGUGCCAGCAGCCGCGGUAAUACGGAGGGUGCGAGCGUUAAUCGGAAUUACUGGGCGUAAAGCGCGCGUAGGUGGCUUGAUAAGCCGGUUGUGAAAGCCCCGGGCUCAACCUGGGAACGGCAUCCGGAACUGUCAAGCUAGAGUGCAGGAGAGGAAGGUAGAAUUCCCGGUGUAGCGGUGAAAUGCGUAGAGAUCGGGAGGAAUACCAGUGGCGAAGGCGGCCUUCUGGACUGACACUGACACUGAGGUGCGAAAGCGUUGGUAGCAAACAGGAUUAGAUACCCUAGUAGUC
rnacentral:rRNA from 1 species